rnacentral:lncRNA from 1 species
UUAUUACCAUCGUUACUAAAAUAUUUAUUCCAAUAGUAACUAGGUAUGCAACCAACUUUACAGACAAUUGUAUUGAAAGUUGCAGUUGAUCGACGACAAAAUUGGUAACUUUUGGGGAAUUCAGAACCUAGAAGUUGGUUUGUGUGUCGAUACGGCUUCCGGCUGACGUGAUUGUCAUUGAAGAAGGGGCUAUUCGUCACUUCAAUCUCGGCUGUUGUUGAAAGCAGACCCAUCGGCCAUCACGCCAGUGGCCAUUACAGAGAAUAUAAAAUUUUAGUUGAAAUGUUUGAAUAGAAUAUACGUUUACGUGGGAAGAAGUUGUUUUGUUCUUGGUUGUUAAGUGGUUUUGAAAAGAAGAGGUUUUUUUGUUUUCCAACACCUUUUUGAAGAGUAAUGGCCACUGGUGGAGAUCAAGAUUAAGUCAAUCCUUUUUUUUGUGAUAUGGAAUAAAUAGAGGUUCAUUUUGAGUUCUUUUGGCAUUGGAUGGAUUUUAUUUUUUUGUUUUUUGGAGAUAGACAGUUUUCCCGGUGCUAGGAAGUACCUCCUUGUCGCACCACAUCGUCGUACCUUCUGGUUGGUGAGAAGUACUCC